AAGAUCGUGCUUCAUAGGAUCAUUUCUACAGUGCAAUCCCCGAGACGCAUCCGCGUACUCAGAACACUUGACCACGACCACGAUGAUGGGUUUAGGGUCUCCGCCCGAGCGCGAAGCCGGCUGUGGAGCUUCGGAUUCGAGCCACUGAUGACCGCUCCUACGGCCUUGAUUGGCUCGAAGGAGGGCGGACACCCAGUCUGAGUGGC